rnacentral:rRNA from 1 species
UACGGGAGGGGCAAGCGUUGUUCGGAAUUACUGGGCGUAAAGGGCUCGUAGGCGGCCAACUAAGUCAUACGUGAAAUCCCUCGGCUUAACCGGGGAACUGCGUCUGAUACUGGAUGGCUUGAGAUUGGGAGAGGGAUGCGGAAUUCCGGGUGUAGCGGUGGAAUGCGUAGAGAUCCGGAAGAACACCGGUGGCGAAGGCGGCCUGCUGGGCAGUUUUGCUGACACUGAGGCGCGACAGCGUGGGGAGCAAACAGG